rnacentral:rRNA from 1 species
UACAGAGGUCCCAAGCGUUGUUCGGAUUCACUGGGCGUAAAGGGUGCGUAGGUGGUGAGGUAAGUCGGAUGUGAAAGCUCCGAGCUCAACUCGGAAAUGGCAUUGGAAACUACCUUGCUAGAGGGUUUGAGGGGGGACUGGAAUACUUGGUGUAGCAGUGAAAUGCGUAGAUAUCAAGAGGAACACCUGAGGUGAAGACGGGUUGCUGGGCUGACACUGACGCUGAGGCGCGAAAGCCAGGGGAGCAAACGGG